CGUGCGCGGAGCUGCCCGCGGCCCUGUGCGCGGCGCUGGGUCCCUCCUCCUCACGCUGUGGUGGUUACCCUGUAGCUGUCCGGUUCUCCAGAGGAUGAUGGAUUUUGAGAAUCUUUUCUCCAACCCCCCCAACCCGGCCCUCGGCGGAAAACUGGCCACGGACUCUGACGAAAGAAUCGAUGAUGAAAUAGAUGAUACAGAAGUUGAAGAAACACAAGAAGAGAAAAUAAAAUGGGAAGUAAAACUGGAGUGUGAGCAAAUUCCCAAAAAAUCUAGGCACUCAGGAAACUCUACAGCAUCAUCGAAGAAUUUGCCACAUAGAAAAUCAAGAAGUAAAGACUAUGAUGUGUACAGUGAUAAUGAUAUCUGCAGUCAGGAAUCAGAAGAUAAUUUUGCUAAAGAGCUUCAACAGUAUAUACAAGCUAAAGAAAUGGCAAAUGCUGCUCAAUCCUUACCAUUUCCUGAAGAAUCUACGAAGAAAGAGGGAGUGAAGGAUUCCCAAAAAGCUGUUAAACAAAAGAAUAAAAACCUUAAAGCUGUUCGCAAGAAUGGUAAACAGAAGAAAAUGAAGCGAAAAUGGCCUGGCACUGGAGACAAAGGACCAAAUGCUUCAUUGAAGGACAGUGGCUCACAAGAACAGGAUGGUAAACCUAAAGAGAAGCAGCAGCAAGUGAGAAUGAGCCAGGCGUUCAUCAACCAACACACAGUGGAACGCAAGGGAAAACAAAUUUGUAAAUAUUUUCUUGAAAGGAAAUGUAUUAAGGGAGACCAAUGUAAAUUUGAUCAUGAUGCAGAAAUAGAGAAGAAAAAGGAAAUGUGUAAGUUUUAUGUACAAGGAUAUUGUACCAGAGGUGAAAACUGUCUGUAUUUGCAUAAUGAAUAUCCCUGCAAGUUUUACCAUACAGGAGCAAAGUGUUAUCAGGGAGAAUAUUGCAAGUUUUCACAUGCUCCACUGACUGCUGAAACACAAGAACUGUUGGCUAAAGUUUUGGAUACUGAAAAGAAGUCAUCAUGAAAAUAAAAUACAUAAAAAAGGUCCCAGGCAACCACUGGUAUUCUUUCAGUAAGGAUAGAUUCAUUUUGCCAGUUCUAGAAUUUCAUCUUUGUAUAGUUGAAGAGUGCUUAUGUCUAUGGCUGUUCAAGACUGUUCAAGACUGUUGAUUUGGAGUAGUUUAUAAGAAUUCUCAUUUAAAGUGCCCACCUGUGUCAUUGUGAUGAUGUGCAGCUUCUUUAAUGGAUGGUGCGGAGGGACAGAGUCUAGUGUAUAAGUCAAGGGGUUGGUCUUCACCAAGAUGUCCCAGCCAUUGGAACAGGAGAGGAGCAUAAAUGGCAGAGAAGCUGGCUGGUGGGUAAAUGUUUUGGUAGUAAAUUGUGGAAGUCUCUUUUGAUUGAGUUUUCUCAAUAAAAUAGGAAGCAAGGUUAGACUGAGUGAGCAUGGAUGAAGAGGUGUAGGGGAUUUGAAGGCAGAAAACUGUUAGAUUUCUUUAGGAAGAUGUUGGAAUAGUAGACGAUGAAUAUACAGUUAGAUCUUCUCGUGUCAUUCAAUACAUUCACAACAUAUUUUUAAUAAUUGCUCACAGUUCUGUUUUAUGGCUUAAAUUAUCAUUCAAUGAUUUUUUAACCAAUUUCCUGUCGUUGGACAUUUACUAUUAUAAAUAAAGUGGAACAAUAUCUCUUGUUAUACCAUUCAUAAACUUGGAGUUCUUAACGUUUUUGUUGUUAAGAUAUAAGAAUUGUUCUUUCUCAUUGGUUCAUAAAGUGUAGACAGAUUAUACACUUGUGUAAAAUGUAAAUGUUAGGAGUAUGAUGAUGUCUUUAACAUAAUAUUCAAAUAUGAAAUUUGCCAAGUACAAAUAAUAAGAUUCUAAAUAUGCACUUUUAUAUGCUGAUGCUGAGUAUUGUUAGAAAAAUACCGUGAAACUGAAACUGUCAUCAUCAUAUUGUUUUAUUACUGGGGAAAGUAAUAGCAUCAUUGACUUGCAGUAUACAUAAAGCACACCGGAGUUAGUGACACUUCUUAGCAAAGUCCUAUUUGAAACUAGGACUCAAAGUUGUUUUAGUUGUAACUUAAUCGCUCUAAAGCAAGAAAGGGAAUUGUGUAUACUCCAAGCAGACCUAGGAAGGAUGAAACCAGGAUAGAUCCUGGGCCCUUAGUGUCAGGAGUCUGUGAGCUGGGUGUGAGUCAUCUCUCAGUGCCCCAUUGCUGUCUGCUGGGUUGACUGGUUCACUCCCUGGCUGUGGCGGGGGAGGAGGGCAAGACAAGGCACUAGAAGCUGCCAGAGGAAGUCACAGAAGAGAGAGGCUGAGUUGACACUUUGAAUGGGUCCAUUACAAAAACCUUCAAUAAUUCAAUGAAAUUGUGCAAGGGAGUGCUUAUAUUAUCUGAAGAAUCAAUACUUUGUAUCUUCUUUAAAGAUCACAUACAAUUUAAAGAAAUUCAAGAGCUUGUCAUAGCUCAGAAGUGUAGAAGGUAAUUUUUAUGGCAACAUGUGUGUAGGCUCACAUUGGCCAACACGUCAGUAAGCUAACAUGAAUGUACACUUACCAUGCGCAAGCACUGUACUGUUUUAUUUAAUAAUGUUUAACUUUCUUAUUUAAGCCUCAUAACCCUAUGAGGUGAAUAAUGGGAUCCAUCGCAUAGAAAAGGAAUAAAUAGGAACAGUUACAGUUUUUCUAUUUUCAUGAGCCUUGAAAAAUACUUGCAUUUAAUCUUAUGACAAUUUAACAGUUUAUUUCCUUAUGAUAUUACCUCAUGUAUAGUUUAGUAAUUAUGAGGUAUAAAUGUUUAUAUAUGAGGUUUAUAUGUAAGAAAAAAUAAUUCUUAUAUUCCAAGAAGCAAUACUCGUCUCACCUGUAAACUUAACAGACCAAGCAGAGGUUUGAGGGACUGAGAAGUCAGAGAAGUUAAAGAAGCUCUUAUUUUACAAAGGCGAGCAUGUCUGUGUCAGUGAACUCUCUGAACUUGUUCUGUUAAAUCAAGUGGAGGGAGAGACAUAUUCUUUUGGAUGUGCCCAUUGCACCUAAAGCAGCUGUGGAUGUCUUAUGUCUGGGUUAUUAUAGAGCCUUCUCAUUGACCUCUUGCCUCCGUUUUCUUCUUUCUUCUCGACAGUUCACUCUUUUCCUCAGUUAGAACAGAUUUCCCAGUGUACUGCUUCAGCCAUGCCUCCACUGUGUAGUACCCUGAAGCAAGAUCCAUUUGUCCACCUGGUUUUAAGUGCUGUGUAGUCUGGCCAUCUCAGUCAUACCAAGCUUUAGUUCCUGCUGCCCUCUGCUCCUCUUUUUUCCUCCUGUGAAGUAAAUCUCAGUGCUUUCUUGAUGCAGCUCCAAGCAAGUACACAUAUAAUAAAACCAUUGGCGGUUAGAAAAAUCUGGACCAAAGGAAAUAUAAGUAAGAAAGUUGUAAUGGGAAGAGCUGUAUAUGGAUUUACAUAUCACUUGGCCAGCAUGGUUGUCAUGGCUGUAUUAAAUUUAUCUUUGAUCUGUUUUGGAGCCAUAUCAAAAGCGAUGAAGUGGUUAUCUACUUACCUCUCAUUAUCAGAAAGAAGGUAGGGUGCAAAAACCUAACCUCUCCUGGUAAUGAUUUCAUAAAAACAAUUCUUAUGUAGGUCUUCAUUGUGGAAAUCACUGAGUAGAAUGGACAGAAUUCUUAUUUCUAAGAUUCUCUGUGACAGAUUUCAUAGAACUUUUUUGUGGUCACUUACCAAAAGCCACAUGACAGUAAAACCCAAUUUUUGUCAGCUGGUAAGAUAUUCACAUAUGUGGUCUUUUGGUGUUUUGACUUGAUCCUAUUGUAGAACUUAAGGAAUUCAGAUGCACAGAUGUUAAAUGACUUGUCCCCUGUCUUAAUAGGUUUCCUGACCUCCGUACAAGCUUCUUAGUUCACUGACUAGUUCUGAUAAGCAUAACCAUUGAGGGGUUACAUUCAAGGAUUUCUUCUGAGCUGUUGUUUGUUGAGAUCAAAAUACUAUUUGGUUUGGUGAUCUGGCCUAAAGAAUAUGGGGUUCAUAUUGCCAGUUAGAAGCUCAAACACCACAUUUGGGCUGUAGUGAGAUCAGAAUGUCUCAGGUUCAGGUUCAGCACCUGCUGAAUGCUAGGGUCAUAUAUAUGAAAUCCUUUUUAAUACCUAUUAGAAUUCUAUAAUAGGGAUUAUUAUAGUAAUAGUAGUUGUUAUUACUAUUUACAGAUGAGGAAACCAAGUCUGUAAGAAGGCAUUACCUUCCCCGAGUCUCCAUAGUUUGUAUUCUUAGUUGUAUACCGUCACGUAUGUUUGCUCCUCUUCCUAGCAGAAUCUCAGUUUUGUUUAGGUGUCCUUCCCUCCUCCAUGACAUCAUCUGUGCUUUGUGGAUGAUGGGCCCUGUCCCCAACCCUUAGGGUUGUACCAUCAAGGGUCUAAAGUUGUGGUUCUCAACCUUGGCUUCACAUUGGAAUCAUUUGGGAAACCUAAAAAAAAAAUGCUGAUGCCUGAGACUGACUCCCAGAAAUUACGAUUUUUUUCUGGGUUGGAGUGGGAGCCCUGGGGUGUGGACAUGAGAUUUUCAGUAGCUCCCAGAUGAUUCUAAGGCAAAGCCAAGGGUGAAAACCAUUCAUCUCAACAACUAAUGGAAAUGCCAUUCUUCUGGCCAGUCGUUGGUUUAGACUUAAAAUAUGAAUACAUGUCGUCUGGUGCACUUCUGGAAAAGUUAACAUCUCUUGAGAUACACAAAGAAGAGGCUGGACAUUGCUGUGUCUAAAUAUGACACCCAGAACUGAUGGAGCUAUCGAUGACCUCAAGGGGAGCUAGCUAGCCAGCUGAAGAUGAUAGAGAGGAAAGGUGGGGAGAAGCUGGGUCCUGGAUAACAACUGAGCUAUGGAAUUCAUGAACCUUAGAAAGGAGACAUCCAACCUUCAGAUUGCAUGUUAUACCACAUGAAAUAACAUAUUUUCUUUACAUUUAAGCCGUUUUGGUUUGAGUUCUCUGUUACCUGCAUCCAAAGGCAAGCUAAUAAAUGUGAGCCAAGAAUCAAACUUACAUGCAUUUAUCCAAAGUCCAUAUUUCUCCCAGGGUCUCCACCCCCCUCUUCACUGACUGCGUUCACUGUCUCAGCCCCUGCAGACAGGACACAGUAAGAAACAGGUGUAAGAAAGGAGGAGACUUGACAACAGGGAGGGCAGUUUUCACGACACCGAGCAGAAACUGGGAAGGAGCAGAUAUGUUUACAAGGCUGAAGAGGAAAGGAGGGAAUGUAUUUGUGGGUAGGGAGGGAUAAGAUGCCCAACUCACCUCAAAGUGGUGUUGAUUCCUGUGAAAUGUGUAAGACUGUUCACAUUAUUUUAAAAUAAAGUUAAAAAAA